UACAGAGGUCCCAAGCGUUACUGAGAAUCACUGGGUUUAAAGGGUGCGUAGGUGGUCCGUUAAGUCAGUUGUGAAAUCCCCGGGCUCAACCCGGGAAAUGCUUCUGAUACUGGCGGACUUGAGGCCAGUAGGGGUCACUAGAACUGACGGUGGAGCGGUGAAAUGCGUAGAUAUCAGGAGGAACACCGGUGGCGAAGGCGGGUCUCUGGGCCGUAACUGACGCUGAGGAGCGAAAGCAUGGGGAGCGAACAGG
rnacentral:rRNA from 1 species